UCGAGGCGGUUCUCAAACGGGCUGACUCUUAAAGUAUUCUUUUACACGCACCGCCCGAAUAAGAAGAUGAAAAGCCCAACGUGAGCUCUCUAAACAGGUUUGGCUGCCGGAUGUUGCAUAACAUCUCGUACGAGGGGAUAUACUGGAGAAUGAAUGGAUGUAAAAAAUCAUUUCGAAAUGUAAUUCUAAAAACUGAUAUUGUUUUAGUUGGGCGAUAACAUGACAGCUCAGAAAACUAACCUUCUCGACCUUUGGCACUGUACUACGUACGUACUACACCAGCCGCACUCAUCGCCCCAUCUCUCACUGGCUUCUCAAAAGAUUGUAACUAAAGACGAGAAUCCUGUGGCAUAUGGCGCAGCUUUUGGCUUCACGCAAGUUUGACCAACCUACCUAAACUAAUCUGUGAUUAGCAAGGAACGUCAUCAUUUUCCCUUUGACACUCCCUUACCUGCUACUUCAGUGAGUCCAGCAGUCCCCGCGCCUUCCUUGUGCCCUUACACUGUAUCACAGCCAGUGGAGCCUCCCCAGUUAAGGUGCUGCUCCUUUAGAGCUAUCCAGUAUAAGCCAUUAACCUGAAGAUCCCUCUGAGCAGCCUGUCCUGAUGAAAAUGAACUUCUGUAUGAACUGGUUGGUAGUCAUGUUCCAUAGAAACAACUUAUUCUUCUAACUCUGGCAUUUGUGGUUAUGGAGGACAUCCUACAACUCAACAUAAUAUUAUUUUACUUUACUGCCCCGCCAAAUCCAUCCAUAUUGAUCUUGCUAAGAUCUGUAUGCAUAUGUCAAGAGGAUCACCACCUACUCAUCUCACCGAGGUCAUCACGACACCCCUCUGAUAUUGUAGGUGGCACAUGAUUUGGAUGGGCAUCCCGAACAGGAUGGGGGAUGGCUCCUUGAUUGGAUGGGAGGCUUAAAGAGAUCAGUCAGGUAUCCCAGCCAAAGAAAGGUAAGGGGCCAUACACAAAUAAUACGUCCCAAGGUGAUGGACAGAUUUCUUACCUGGACAGGAGGCCCUGGGCAAAUGGACAGGCAUCCUGACUGGACAUGGUUCCGGUACCUUCCCAGGGUGGGAGAAAAGAAGAGAAAGACUGGGAAGGAUUGUCUUUGAGUGGUGUUUGUUCCCCCAGACACUAGAUGGCAGCAGCCCUCCAUAAUGGAAACCAUUCAGGAAACCAGCAGGGAAUGCUGGGAGUUGUACAGUAGUCCAGCAGCACAGUCUUGUUAAGAUCCAUGUGUGCCACAAAGGGGCAUUGCAGGGAGAUGCACUCUCCAAUAUAUUGGACUUCCAUAUAAUUCUGAAGAAUUUCCAACGGGCAGCAGCCCUGGCACCAGAAGUACUCCUGGGUCCUCAAUAAAAGGGGCCGCACCCCCUUGUCCAGAGGAGUCACGGCUGGGGGAAAGGAAGGAAACACUUCACUGGAAGAGUACAAGUGCGGUAAAGAGAGAAUAGGUGAAUUGCAGGAGAGAUUACUUGUGCUUAUGUUACU